rnacentral:sRNA from 1 species
UUUUAGGAUGUGCUAACAACAGCUGACAGAUUUUCAUACACGAAAACAAACUAUUAUAAACAAAUGGAUCAUCUUCCAGAGUCCAAGAGCAUCAAUUCUGCAAAAGGAAGUGUUCCUGAAUGUGACUGUUAAAGAAGAAGAAGGACAGAAUGUUCAAUAAUAUAAUCUUGACAUGACUACCAACACUGGUCGGUUUCCCAUUUCCUGCCACUUCCUCCAGCCCAGGAAAAUGUGUGAUUUCUUCCUGCCAUGGAAGCCAUAGCUGAUGAUCUUCUGUAUCUACUAUCUCUGUCAUAUUGAGCUCUCUUUUCUGGGUCAGACAAAGUUGAGUAAGCUGAUUGGAUCAUCAUGAAUUGGUGAGCUGAGCUUUCCUUCUGAUUCAUGGCCACAACAUCAGGAUGGUAAGUUCUAGCCAGCUUUCUGUAAGCAGCCUUUAUUUCCACGCAGCUUGCGCCAAUUGAAAUUCCAAGCACAUCAUAGAGGGAAGCCAUUUGUGCAGCACAAUAGCAGGGUCCUCUGUUUUCAGUUCUUAAGUGGAAGCAAUUUUCUUACAAAAAUUGGAACUUUGAGUUUUGGAGGCUAAGAUAUCAGUGGAUAAAAACCAGGAUUGGAUCAAGGCUUGAACAGAAAAAAUGUGGAACUGUGGGGUAGGAAAAAGAUUAAAGGCAGUUAAGGGUUGAGUUAAGAAGACUGAUAUGUUUCAAACUUGCCUUGAUACCAAAGUGAGGGAAAAAAGGGUUAACAAAUAAACUUUCUGGUGUAUAUUUGUUAAACAUUCAGUGGAGAGUGGAGAUGGUAAGUCUUCAAUGUCAUUCAAU